rnacentral:rRNA from 1 species
CCCCGUACACAAAAAUGCACAUACUGUGAGCUCGAUGAGUAGGGCGGGACACGUGGUAUCCUGUCUGAAUAUGGGGGGACCAUCCUCCAAGGCUAAAUACUCCUGACUGACCGAUAGUGAACCAGUACCGUGAGGGAAAGGCGAAAAGAACCCCGGCGAGGGGAGUGAAAAAGAACCUGAAACCGUGUACGUACAAGCAGUGGGAGCACAGAGCAAUCUGUGUGACUGCGUACCUUUUGUAUAAUGGGUCAGCGACUUAUAUUCUGUAGCAAGGUUAACCGAAUAGGGGAGCCGAAGGGAAACCGAGUCUUAACUGGGCGUUAAGUUGCAGGGUAUAGACCCGAAACCCGGUGAUCUAGCCAUGGGCAGGUUGAAGGUUGGGUAACACUAACUGGAGGACCGAACCGACUAAUGUUGAAAAAUUAGCGGAUGACUUGUGGCUGGGGGUGAAAGGCCAAUCAAACCGGGAGAUAGCUGGUUCUCCCCGAAAGCUAUUUAGGUAGCGCCUCGUGAAUUCAUCUCCGGGGGUAGAGCACUGUUUCGGCAAGGGGGUCAUCCCGACUUACCAACCCGAUGCAAACUGCGAAUACCGGAGAAUGUUAUCACGGGAGACACACGGCGGGUGCUAACGUCCGUCGUGAAGAGGGAAACAACCCAGACCGCCAGCUAAGGUCCCAAAGUCAUGGUUAAGUGGGAAACGAUGUGGGAAGGCCCAGACAGCCAGGAUGUUGGCUUAGAAGCAGCCAUCAUUUAAAGAAAGCGUAAUAGCUCACUGGUCGAGUCGGCCUGCGCGGAAGAUGUAACGGGGCUAAACCAUG